rnacentral:rRNA from 1 species
UGUGUAGGAUAGGUGGGAGGCUUUGAAGCGUGGACGCCAGUCUGCGUGGAGCCAACCUUGAAAUACCACCCUUUAAUGUUUGAUGUUCUAACGUUGGCCCCUUACCGGGGUUGCGGACAGUGUCUGGUGGGUAGUUUGACUGGGGCGGUCUCCUCCCAAAGCGUAACGGAGGAGCACGAAGGUUAGCUAAUCCUGGUCGGACAUCAGGAGGUUAGUGCAAUGGCAUAAGCUAGCUUGACUGCGAGCGUGACGGCGCGAGCAGGUGCGAAAGCAGGUCAUAGUGAUCCGGUGGUUCUGAAUGGAAGGGCCAUCGCUCAACGGAUAAAAGGUACUCCGGGGAUAACAGGCUGAUACCGCCCAAGAGUUCAUAUCGACGGCGGUGUUUGGCACCUCGAUGUCGGCUCAUCACAUCCUGGGGCUGAAGUAGGUCCCAAGGGUAUGGCUGUUCGCCAUUUAAAGUGGUACGCGAGCUGGGUUUAGAACGUCGUGAGACAGUUCGGUCCCUAUCUGCCGUGGGCGCUGGAGAAUUGAGGGGGGCUGCUCCUAGUACGAGAGGACCGGAGUGGACGCAUCACUGGUGUUCGGGUUGUCAUGCCAAUGGCACUGCCCGGUAGCUAAAUGCGGAAGAGAUAAGUGCUGAAAGCAUCUAAGCACGAAACUUGCCCCGAGAUGAGUUCUCCCUGAGACUUUAAGUCUCCUGAAGGAACGUUAAAGACGAUGACGUUGAUAGGCCGGGUGUGUAAGCGCAGCGAUGCGUUGAGCUAACCGGUACUAAUGAACCGUGAGGCUUAACCUU